AGACCCGAAACCCGGUGAUCUAGCCAUGGGCAGGUUGAAGGUUGGGUAACACUAACUGGAGGACCGAACCGACUAAUGUUGAAAAAUUAGCGGAUGACCUGUGGCUGGGGGUGAAAGGCCAAUCAAACCGGGAGAUAGCUGGUUCUCCCCGAAAGCUAUUUAGGUAGCGCCUCGUGAAUUCAUCUCCGGGGGUAGAGCACUGUUUCGGCUAGGGGGCCAUCCCGGCUUACCAACCCGAUGCAAACUGCGAAUACCGGAGAAUGUUAUCACGGGAGACACACGGCGGGUGCUAACGUCCGUCGUGAAGAGGGAAACAACCCAGACCGCCAGCUAAGGUCCCAAAGUCAUGGUUAAGUGGGAAACGAUGUGGGAAGGCCCAGACAGCCAGGAUGUUGGCUUAGAAGCAGCCAUCAUUUAAAGAAAGCGUAAUAGCUCACUGGUCGAGUCGGCCUGCGCGGAAGAUGUAACGGGGCUAAACCAUGCACCGAAGCUGCGGCAGCGACACUCAGGUGUUGUUGGGUAGGGGAGCGUUCUGUAAGCCUGCGAAGGUGGCCUAUGAGGGUUGCUGGAGGUAUCAGAAGUGCGAAUGCUGACAUAAGUAACGAU
rnacentral:rRNA from 1 species